rnacentral:rRNA from 1 species
UGGGGAAUAUUGGACAAUGGGCGCAAGCCUGAUCCAGCCAUGCCGCGUGUGUGAAGAAGGCCUUUUGGUUGUAAAGCACUUUAAGCGAGGAGGAGGCUACUUGGAUUAAUACUCUAGGAUAGUGGACGUUACUCGCAGAAUAAGCACCGGCUAACUCUGUGCCAGCAGCCGCGGUAAUACAGAGGGUGCGAGCGUUAAUCGGAUUUACUGGGCGUAAAGCGUGCGUAGGCGGCUUUUUAAGUCGGAUGUGAAAUCCCUGAGCUUAACUUAGGAAUUGCAUUCGAUACUGGGAAGCUAGAGUAUGGGAGAGGAUGGUAGAAUUCCAGGUGUAGCGGUGAAAUGCGUAGAGAUCUGGAGGAAUACCGAUGGCGAAGGCAACCAUCUGGCCUAAUACUGACGCUGAGGUACGAAAGCAUGGGGAGCAAACAGG